AAGAUUCUAGUAAAAUAUAUUACACUGCCUCGUCAAGGCAAAACUGUGAGUUUAAAUCCCACGAAUCUUA
rnacentral:tRNA from 1 species